rnacentral:sRNA from 1 species
AGCGCGAUCGGGUCCACGGCGCGGGUGGUGAGCAGGUAGUCGCGGAUGGCGAUACCGUGCCGGCCCUC